rnacentral:misc_RNA from 1 species
ACAGGUCCCUUUGAGAAGUUCAUACGAGUGACAAUGAUCUUGCCAUUAACGGGUCAACAAUAUUCAGAGAAAGUUUCAGAGAAUUGUGUUGCCAUUUGGAAAUCUUUGGGAAUUUACACUGAUGCAGAAGCGAAGGCCAUUGAUAAAUUCUUGGAGGUCUUCAAAGCUGAAACUUUUCCUCCUGGCACUUCUAUUCUUUUUACACUAUUGCCUCGUGGAGCAUUAGCGAUUACUUUCUCGAAAGAUGGAUCAAUACCAGAAGUUGAGAAUACCAUG